UACGAAGGGGGGCUAGCGUUGCUCGGAAUCACUGGGCGUAAAGCGCACGUAGGCGGAUUCUUAAGUCAGGGGUGAAAUCCUGGAGCUCAACUCCAGAACUGCCUUUGAUACUGAGGGUCUUGAGUUCGGGAGAGGUGAGUGGAACUGCGAGUGUAGAGGUGAAAAUUCGUAGAUAUUCGCAAGAACACCAGUGGCGAAGGCGGCUCACUGGCCCGAUACUGACGCUGAGGUGCGAAAGCGUGGGGAGCAAACAGGAUUAAGAAAC
rnacentral:rRNA from 1 species